GCACAAUAAUGGCCCUGUUUUGUAGCUGGCUGUGUUUCUCCAAAAUGUAUUUAUAUUGCUGCCUUUUCAAAAGAAGUUGGCUAAUAUUAUUGGAUUUCCAUUUUCUGCCAUGACAUAUGAAAAUUUGAUGAGGUCUGUGAAAUUUAAGACUUGUUUCCUUAAGUGUGAUAGAACCUUAGUUAAUAUAGCUUUAGACUUCAGUCGCACAAAUCUGUGAUUACCUUUAAACUUUUUCCUUAUUGUUGGGGAGGGUGGAGAAAAGGGGGAGGCAGGAAGUGUGUAUAUGUAGCCAGGAGACAGGAAUGAGCAGAAAGACAGGGACAAAGUACAAACCUCACACGGCACCAGGCAGCUAUGUAUCUCCAAGCAGCCCAGGAUGAGAUUGAACAUCAAGUGACCCUGGAAGAACUACAAAAUUUAAACGCACUAUUUCAGAAACAAAUGGUGAAUGCAUCAGAGAAAUGAACAAAAGAUAUGUUAGAAGUUGACAGAGUUUAGGAGCAUGAAAAGAGAGGAACACGACUGCUGGAUAUGGAAACAUUCAAAAGCAUAAUGAAGCAGAGUAUGAGGUCCCAGAAUAAAAGUACUCGUUGACCCUCAGUACUUCUGUCAACUUGAAGCUGAAUGAAGAGAACGUGCUUGUUUGCAAUUUUCAAAUUUAUGUAAUGGUAACCCAUAGUUGGAGUAGUUUAACUAGGUAUUUCAGUAACUAAGGCAAGUUACAUGAAAGAAAUUCUUAAACCAAGAAUGGAGGGCCACAUCCACCACUUUACUGAAAAGCCAGGAAAGUACUGCAGGCAAUGAUACAUGGUGAUAAUGAAAUCAGUGAACACAUGUAAAGUGUUUAGAACUGGGGUUGUCACACAAUAAAUUCUCAGCAAGUAUUAUUAUGAUUCCUGUUAAUAUUAUCCAAUUUUGGUUAUGUAAUAACAAAGAGCUGAGAUACCUGUUUUUUUGAUUCUUGGCCAUCAUGUCUGUCAGUGUCCUUCCAUUGUUCUGGGAUGAAUUAAGUUCAAAAGUGACAAAUUGAGCAGUAAGUCAUCUGUAUUCAGGCCUUUGGCCAAUUCUACAGUGCCCUCACUGUCAUAUGAUUUGAAAAGGAAUAUUCAAGAUUCCAGGGCAGAGAAGGGAAGCUUCUAGUGAAAGAGGAUUUUGGAAGAGGUGGACAGAAAAUGAAGAUUUCCCAGGUCCAAAGAGACUCCACCCUUUCUAUUUUUGAUCACAAAGUUCCUUCCCAUUAGUAUACUGCUAAGAUUCAAAAAAAGGCAUAUGCCCUGCUGUGUGGGAACUUCAGAAUCAGAUCAAUGACAACACAAGUCUCUGGCUGGCCAUUGGCUAGUUGUUCCAUCUUAGGCAAGCCAUUUAACUUCUCUUCAAGCUUGAGUUUCCCAGUUCAUAAAAUGGGGUGAGCGAUGGACCUUAACCCCUUUAGGAAUGAUGAGAAUUGAAGUGAAGACCCACACUACAUGGAACAUGGUACACUCUAACAGUCAUUAUCAUCACCGCCAUUGUCAUCAUCAUCAUCAUCAUCAUCAUCAUCAUCAUCAUCAUCAACAACAACAACAACAACACCAUUAAAGAAAAAGGGAAAGCAGAAGAAGUAAGCUGGCAGCUGGGAAACAGACUUCAGGCCCAGCUGAGCAUGCUUACCACAGUUAUUACACGGUGGCUUCUGGACGUAUCUACAGCUAGAGUAUUUGAAGCAGGCCAAGGCUUUGGCCUGACAGAAAGAGGUGUCCUUCCUGCUGCCUGCUGUAGUGCCACAGAGGCUGUCACAUGGGGGUCUUGUGCUGCGCAUUCUCUCUGUGCCUGAUGACACCUUAAUCAUGAUCAGAGAAGAUGGAGCUAUUUAUUUCUGGUCCCUGCAGCUGAAGCUGAAAAGAAAAAAGUGGAUUUUUGUAUGUGAUUUUCAUUUGAUAAGGAUGCUGAGUGCUACAGUUUGAUUUUAUUUGCUAUUUUAAACUGCUCCUUAAGUGGCAUGAUUACAUAAAUUGUGCCCUUGAAUAUAAUAUAUUCAUGUUGCAUUUUGUUAGGCUACGGAAUGCAAAUAAAAUAGAGCACUACAUGU
rnacentral:lncRNA from 1 species